ensembl:snRNA U6 U6 spliceosomal RNA
GUGCUUGCUUCAGCAGUACAUAGACUAAAAUUGGAACGAUACAGAUAAGAUUAGCAUGGCCCCUGCGCAAGGACGACACGCAAGUUCCGUAUUUUGAAACUGUUCUG